UGGGGAAUAUUGCACAAUGGGCGGAAGCCUGAUGCAGCAACGCCGCGUGCGGGAUGACGGCCUUCGGGUUGUAAACCGCUUUCGCCUGUGACGAAGCGUGAGUGACGGUAAUGGGUAAAGAAGCACCGGCUAACUACGUGCCAGCAGCCGCGGUGAUACGUAGGGUGCGAGCGUUGUCCGGAUUUAUUGGGCGUAAAGGGCUCGUAGGUGGUUGAUCGCGUCGGAAGUGUAAUCUUGGGGCUUAACCCGGAGCGUGCUUUCGAUACGGGUUGACUUGAGGAAGGUAGGGGAGAAUGGAAUUCCUGGUGGAGCGGUGGAAUGCGCAGAUAUCAGGAGGAACACCAGUGGCGAAGGCGGUUCUCUGGGCCUUUCCUGACGCUGAGGAGCGAAAGCGUGGGGAGCGAACA
rnacentral:rRNA from 1 species